UUACAGUACACAAACAUGUUAUUGUUUUGAGUUAUUAUCAUGGCUUGUGACAAGUAAAGACUUUAUCUACUUAAUAGAAACUGUAUAAUUUCAGUGUCAAAAAUAACAAUAAAUGGCAUUGUCAGUAUCAGGAGUGAUUGUUGAGUGUCAGUGAAGUUAUUAGUGAAUGUCCGCCUUCCUCAGACAGCAGUAUCAGACCAACUCCUUUAGAGUGUGUAUUACCUGGUGCUACUCUGAAUGGUAGGCAAUGGAUUGGUCCUAAUGGAGCAACUUGAACAAUCUGCCCCUGUCCCUGUAAAGGUUGUAGGCAUAGAUUUUUAAUGUGAUGAUGUCCAUGUAUUAAUCCUUUGGCUGGCAGGCAUCCAGCUGUGAUGUCAAUGUAAUAUAACUGACUUUGUAUCUAUUACCA